rnacentral:rRNA from 1 species
AGAUUGAACGCUGGCGGCAUGCCUUACACAUGCAAGUCGAACGGUAGAGUAGCAAUACUUGAGAGUGGCGAACGGGUGAGUAAUAUAUCGGAACGUGCCCAGUCGUGGGGGGAUAACGUAGAGAAAUUUACGCUAAUACCGCAUACGAUCUAAGGAUGAAAGCGGGGGACUCGCAAGAGCCUCGCGCGAUUGGAGCGGCUGAUAUCAGAUUAGGUUGUUGGUGAGGUAAAAGCUCACCAAGCCGACGAUCUGUAGCUGGUUUGAGAGAACGGCCAGCCACACUGGGACUGAGACACGGCCCAGACUCCUACGGGAGGCAGCAGUGGGGAAUUUUGGACAAGUGGGCAAAGCCUGAUCCAGCAAUGCCGCGUGCGAGGAAGAAGGCCCUUCGGGUUAGUAAACGUGUCUUUUGGACGGUAACGAACGGUCU